GGCUGCUUGGUGCUUACCACAGGCUGUGUUCUUAGACUGACUGCACAGAAAUAGGAGGCAGAGUAAACCCACCCAAUAUACAUUUCAGCUCAGGCCCUUUGCCUGUUCUGUGUUGUGAAUGGGGAGAUACUA